CGGCUGGCACGCACAGAGCGCUAUGACUUCCAAUUAUAUAAUGGUGGAAAAUACCACCCCAGCUGA
rnacentral:tRNA from 1 species